AUGUUAAGUGAUUCGACGAUUACUAUAGCAGUGAAAAAGCUUGAUGGUGACCGUCAAGGAGAGAAGCAAUUCAGGGCCGAGGUGAGCUCAAUUGGACUGAUCCAGCACAUAAACCUAGUCAAAUUGAUUGGUUUCUGCUGCGAAGGCAACCACAGAUUACUUGUGUAUGAACACAUGUUUAAUGGGUCUCUUGAUGGUCAUCUAUUUAAGAAGAGCAAUGUUGAUGCUGCCGUCCUGAGUUGGAACACCAGAUAUCAGAUAACCCUAGGAGUUGCUAGAGGAUUAUCCUACUUGCAUCAGAGUUGUCGUGAGUGCAUCAUACACUGCGAUAUUAAGCCGGAGAACAUACUUCUGGAUACAUCAUUUGUUCCUAAAGUUGCAGACUUUGGGCUGGCAGCGUUUGUGGGAAGGGAUUUCAGCCGAAUUCUGACUUCAUUCAGGGGCACUGCAGGUUAUCUUGCCCCAGAGUGGCUUACCGGAGUGGCAAUCACACCGAAAGUUGAUGUUUACGGCUUCGGCAUGGUUUUGUUGGAAAUCAUAUCUGGGAGGAGGAAUUCCUCACCUGAAGAAUCAUACAACGCUAGCAGCAGCGGUAACCAGAAUGUUAAAUAUUUCCCUGUCCAAGCCAUCAGCAAGCUUCAUGGCGGAGAUUUGAAGAGUUUGGUGGAUCCACAGUUACAUGGUGACUUCAACUUGGAAGAGGCUGAAAGGGUUUGCAAAGUUGCAGGUUGGUGCAUCCAAGAUAAUGAGUUUGAUCGCCCGACAAUGGGUGAAGUGGUCCGGGUUCUCGAGGGUCAACAGGAGAUUGAUGUGCCCCCAAUGCCAAGAUUGCUUGCAGCUCAAUUUUCUUAA
rnacentral:rRNA from 1 species